rnacentral:tRNA from 1 species
UCCCUGAUGGUCUAGUGGUGCAGACUCCACGCUUCCAAAGGAGGGGGCGCAGGUUCAGUCCCUGGUCAGGGAA